GGGUGACCACGUACCUUUUGUAUAAUGGGUCAGCGACUUAGUGUGACGAGCAAGCUUAAACCGAUAGGUGUAGGCGCAGCGAAAGCGAGUCUGAACAGGGCGUUCAGUUCGUCGCAUUAGACCCGAAACCGAGUGAUCUAGCCAUGAGCAGGCUGAAGGUAAGGUAACACUUACUGGAGGGCCGAACCCAUAACUGUUGCAAUAGUUCGGGAUGACUUGUGGCUAGGGGUGAAAGGCCAAUCAAACUCGGAAAUAGCUGGUUCUCCGCGAAAUCUAUUUAGGUAGAGCGUCGACCGAAUACCCCAGGGGGUAGAGCACUGGAUGGGCUAGGGGUCCUCACCGGAUUACCAAACCUAACCAAACUCCGAAUACCUGGGAGUACUAGUCGGCAGACACACGGCGGGUGCUAACGUCCGUCGUGAAAAGGGAAACAACCCUGACCUACAGCUAAGGUCCCCAAGUUAUGGCUAAGUGGGAAAGGAUGUGAGGAUCCCAAAACAACCAGGAUGUUGGCUUAGAAGCAGCCAUCAUUUAAAGAAAGCGUAACAGCUCACUGGUCUAAAUAAGGGUCUUUGCGCCGAAAAUGUAACGGGGCUAAAGCCAUACACCGAAGCUUAGGGUUCGUGAGCAAUCACGAGCGGUAGCGGAGCGUUCUGUAAGCCAGUGAAGCCGUACCCGUGAGGGGCGGUGGAGGUAUCAGAAGUGCGAAUGCUGACAUGAGUAACGUAAGGGGAGUGAGAGACUCCCCCGCCGAAAG
rnacentral:rRNA from 1 species